ACCGAAUAGAUACCCAGGUAGUCCACGCCCUAAACGAUGCGAACUGGAUGUUGGGCACAUUACGGUGCUCAGUGUCGAAAGCUAACGCGUUAAGUUCGCCGCCUGGGGAGUACGGUCGCAAGACUGAAACUCAAAGGAAUUGACGGGGGCCCGCACAAGCGGUGGAGUAUGUGGUUUAAUUCGAUGCAACGCGAAGAACCUUACCUGGCCUUGACAUCUGUCGAAUCCUGCAGAGAUGCGGGAGUGCCGCAAGGAACGACAAGACAGGUGCUGCAUGGCUGUCGUCAGCUCGUGUCGUGAGAUGUUGGGUUAAGUCCCGCAACGAGCGCAACCCUUGUCCCUAGUUGCCAACACUUCGGGUGGGAACUCUAGGGAGACUGCCGGUGACAAACCGGAGGAAGGUGGGGAUGACGUCAAGUCCUCAUGGCCCUUACGGCCAGGGCUACACACGUACUACAAUGGUCGGUACAAAGGGUUGCCAAGCCGCGAGGCGGAGCCAAUCCCAGAAAACCGAUCCCAGUCCGGAUUGGGGUCUGCAGCUC
rnacentral:rRNA from 1 species